UACGGAGGGGGGCUAGCGUUGUUCGGAAUUACUGGGCGUAAAGCGCACGUAGGCGGCUUUGCAAGUCAGAGGUGAAAGCCCGGGGCUCAACCCCGGAAUUGCCUUUAAGACUGCAUCGCUAGAAUCGUGGAGAGGUGAGUGGAAUUCCGAGUGUAGAGGUGAAAUUCGUAGAUAUUCGGAAGAACACCAGUGGCGAAGGCGGGUCUCUGGGCCGUGACUGACGCUGAGGAGCGAAAGCGUGGGGAGCGAACAGG
rnacentral:rRNA from 1 species